rnacentral:rRNA from 1 species
UUUCCCUACGGGAGGCAGCAGUGAGGAAUAUUGGUCAAUGGGCGAGAGCCUGAACCAGCCAAGUCGCGUGAAGGAUGAAGGAUCUAUGGUUUGUAAACUUCUUUUAUAUGGGAAUAAAGUGAGGAACGUGUUCCUUUUUGUAUGUACCAUAUGAAUAAGCAUCGGCUAACUCCGUGCCAGCAGCCGCGGUAAUACGGAAGGUCCGGGCGUUAUCCGGAUUUAUUGGGUUUAAAGGGAGCGUAGGCCGGCUUUUAAGUCAGCUGUGAAAGUCCGCGGCUCAACCGUGGAAUUGCAGUUGAAACUGG